rnacentral:rRNA from 1 species
GACACGACUCUCGACAAUGGAUAUCUUGGCUCUUACAUCGAUGAAGAGCGCAGCGAAAUGCGAUACGUGGUGCGAAUUGCAGAAUCCCGCGAACCAUCGAGUCUUUGACGCAAGUUGCGCCCGAGGCCAGCAGGCCAAGGGCGCGUCCGCCUGGGCGUCAAGC